AGGAGCUCAAAUCUAAAUUUCAAUCCUCUCAUUAUCAAAUUUAGAAUUUCCACGACAGUCCUUAAUAAUCAACAAUGUAAAUGUUAACUCUCUUGCUCUCCCUCUUUUAAGAGCAUUCAGUACCUCUAUCCAGAGUGCUACAGAGACAUAAUAUUCCAAGGACCUCCAGAGCCUUCAGACCAACUACCUGCACAGAGAAGUGAGUCUGCUGUGCCAUGGAACUCUAGAGCAGCACAUCAAAAAACCUGCCACCAUGUUGUCAGCUAUCAGCAGACAGUUCCCAGAGGAAGGAUACAACUAUCAAGGCUUUAAAUUGUCACAUUUGGGGGAUGACCACCAAACGCAAUAAACCAUUAACUAGUCUCCUGUGAGUUCCUGCAUCCACCCACGUCCUCCCCCACACUCUCCCAACUCCAGGUUGACUUCACCAGGAAUCUUCGGAUAUUAUGACUAUUCUUUAUAUUCUAUGGAUCCCUGAGCUGUGCUUUAUUUACCUUUAUUAGAUUUCAUGAAUUCUCAAGCACAUGCAUGAAGACGAUGAUGAAUGAUAAGCUGUAAGACUUUCUGUAGCUGAUCGUUAUUUUGGAUCAAGCCCAAAGCAUGGCAGGUCGUGCUAUAAUUAGCUGAAUUUACCAUACUCUCCAAAAUAUACGAAUUAUUUUCAUUUUCUGUGGACGCACUGAAAUAAAUAAGGCGUGCAACACUGAA